CGGUUAGCGGUCUGUUCAGGUGGAUGAGGGCUCUUCACGGUCGGGCACUCGGCUGUGCCUGUCAUCCACUUGGAGAGCUCCCGCGGUCCG
rnacentral:pre_miRNA from 1 species